rnacentral:rRNA from 1 species
UACGUAGGGGGCAAGCGUUGUCCGGAUUUAUUGGGCGUAAAAGGCUUGUAGGUGGCCACGCCAAGUCGGAUGUGAAAUCUCCCGGCUCAACUGGGAGGGGUCAUUCGAUACUGGUGGGCUCGAGGCCGGUAGGGGGAAGCGGAAUUCCCGGUGUAGUGGUGGAAUGCGUAGAUAUCGGGAGGAACACCAGUGGCGAAGGCGGCUUCCUGGACCGGUUCUGACACUGAGGAGCGAAAGCGUGGGGAGCAAACGGG